rnacentral:rRNA from 1 species
CCUACGGGAGGCUGCAGUGGGGAAUAUUGCACAAUGGGGGAAACCCUGAUGCAGCGACGCCGCGUGAGUGAAGAAGUAUUUCGUUACGUAAAGCUCUAUCAGCAGGGAAGAAAAUGACGGUACCUGAGUAAGAAGCCCCGGCUAACUACGUGCCAGCAGCCGCGGUAAUACGUAGGGGGCAAGCGUUAUCCGGAUUUACUGGGUGUAAAGGGAGCGUAGACGGUGCGCCAAGUCUGGAGUGAAAUGCCGCAGCUCAACUGCGGAACUGCUUUGGAAACUGGCGAACUGGAGUGCGGGAGGGGUAAGCGGAAUUCCUAGUGUAGCGGUGAAAUGCGUAGAUAUUAGGAGGAACACCAGUGGCGAAGGCGGCUUACUGGACCGUAACUGACGUUGAGGCUCGAAAGCGUGGGGAGCAAACAGGAUUAGAUACCCUGGUAGUC